rnacentral:rRNA from 1 species
UUAAGCGACUAAGCGUACACGGUGGAUGCCCUGGCAGUCAGAGGCGAUGAAGGGCGUGCUAAUCUGCGAUAAGCGCCGGUAAGGUGAUAUGAACCGUUAUAACCGGCGAUACCCGAAUGGGGAAACCCAGUGUGACUCGUCACACUAUCAUUAACUGAAUCCAUAGGUUAAUGAGGCGAACCGGGGGAACUGAAACAUCUAAGUACCCCGAGGAAAAGAAAUCAACCGAGAUUCCCCCAGUAGCGGCGAGCGAACGGGGAGGAGCCCAGAGCCUGAAUCAGCAUGUGUGUUAGUGGAAGCGUCUGGAAAGGCGCGCGAUACAGGGUGACAGCCCCGUACACAAAAGCGCAUGUGCUGUGAGCUCGAUGAGUAGGGCGGGACACGUGGUAUCCUGUCUGAAUAUGGGGGGACCAUCCUCCAAGGCUAAAUACUCCUGACUGACCGAUAGUGAACCAGUACCGUGAGGGAAAGGCGAAAAGAACCCCGGCGAGGGGAGUGAAAAAGAACCUGAAACCGUGUACGUACAAGCAGUGGNNNNNGUGACUGCGUACCUUUUGUAUAAUGGGUCAGCGACUUAUAUUCUGUAGCAAGGUUAACCGAAUAGGGGAGCCGGAGGGAAACCGAGUCUUAACCGGGCGUUAAGUUGCAGGGUAUAGACCCGAAACCCGGUGAUCUAGCCAUGGGCAGGUUGAAGGUUGGGUAACACUAACUGGAGGACCGAACCGACUAAUGUUGAAAAAUUAGCGGAUGACCUGUGGCUGGGGGUGAAAGGCCAAUCAAACCGGGAGAUAGCUGGUUCUCCCCGAAAGCUAUUUAGGUAGCGCCUCGUGAAUUCAUCUCCGGGGGUAGAGCACUGUUUCGGCUAGGGGGCCAUCCCGGCUUACCAACCCGAUGCAAACUGCGAAUACCGGAGAAUGUUAUCACGGGAGACACACGGCGGGUGCUAACGUCCGUCGUGAAGAGGGAAACAACCCAGACCGCCAGCUAAGGUCCCAAAGUCAUGGUUAAGUGGGAAACGAUGUGGGAAGGCCCAGACAGCCAGGAUGUUGGCUUAGAAGCAGCCAUCAUUUAAAGAAAGCGUAAUAGCUCACUGGUCGAGUCGGCCUGCGCGGAAGAUGUAACGGGGCUAAACCAUGCACCGAAGCUGCGGCAGCGACGCUUAUGCGUUGUUGGGUAGGGGAGCGUUCUGUAAGCCUGUGAAGGUGGCCUGUGAGGGUUGCUGGAGGUAUCAGAAGUGCGAAUGCUGACAUAAGUAACGAUAAAGCGGGUGAAAAGCCCGCUCGCCGGAAGACCAAGGGUUCCUGUCCAACGUUAAUCGGGGCAGGGUGAGUCGACCCCUAAGGCGAGGCCGAAAGGCGUAGUCGAUGGGAAACGGGUUAAUAUUCCCGUACUUGGUGUUACUGCGAAGGGGGGACGGAGAAGGCUAUGUUGGCCGGGCGACGGUUGUCCCGGUUUAAGCGUGUAGGUGUGUGUUCCAGGUAAAUCCGGUUCACUUUAACACUGAGGCGUGAUGACGAGGCACUACGGUGCUGAAGCAACAAAUGCCCUGCUUCCAGGAAAAGCCUCUAAGCAUCAGGUAACAUCAAAUCGUACCCCAAACCGACACAGGUGGUCAGGUAGAGAAUACCAAGGCGCUUGAGAGAACUCGGGUGAAGGAACUAGGCAAAAUGGUGCCGUAACUUCGGGAGAAGGCACGCUGACANGUAGGUGAAGUGAUUUACUCAUGGAGCUGAAGUCAGUCGAAGAUACCAGCUGGCUGCAACUGUUUAUUAAAAACACAGCACUGUGCAAACACGAAAGUGGACGUAUACGGUGUGACGCCUGCCCGGUGCCGGAAGGUUAAUUGAUGGGGUCAGCGCAAGCGAAGCUCCUGAUCGAAGCCCCGGUAAACGGCGGCCGUAACUAUAACGGUCCUAAGGUAGCGAAAUUCCUUGUCGGGUAAGUUCCGACCUGCACGAAUGGCGUAAUGAUGGCCAGGCUGUCUCCACCCGAGACUCAGUGAAAUUGAACUCGCUGUGAAGAUGCAGUGUACCCGCGGCAAGACGGAAAGACCCCGUGAACCUUUACUAUAGCUUGACACUGAACAUUGAGCCUUGAUGUGUAGGAUAGGUGGGAGGCUUUGAAGUGUGGACGCCAGUCUGCAUGGAGCCGACCUUGAAAUACCACCCUUUAAUGUUUGAUGUUCUAACGUGGACCCGUGAUCCGGGUUGCGGACAGUGUCUGGUGGGUAGUUUGACUGGGGCGGUCUCCUCCUAAAGAGUAACGGAGGAGCACGAAGGUUGGCUAAUCCUGGUCGGACAUCAGGAGGUUAGUGCAAUGGCAUAAGCCAGCUUGACUGCGAGCGUGACGGCGCGAGCAGGUGCGAAAGCAGGUCAUAGUGAUCCGGUGGUUCUGAAUGGAAGGGCCAUCGCUCAACGGAUAAAAGGUACUCCGGGGAUAACAGGCUGAUACCGCCCAAGAGUUCAUAUCGACGGCGGUGUUUGGCACCUCGAUGUCGGCUCAUCACAUCCUGGGGCUGAAGUAGGUCCCAAGGGUAUGGCUGUUCGCCAUUUAAAGUGGUACGCGAGCUGGGUUUAGAACGUCGUGAGACAGUUCGGUCCCUAUCUGCCGUGGGCGCUGGAGAACUGAGGGGGGCUGCUCCUAGUACGAGAGGACCGGAGUGGACGCAUCACUGGUGUUCGGGUUGUCAUGCCAAUGGCACUGCCCGGUAGCUAAAUGCGGAAGAGAUAAGUGCUGAAAGCAUCUAAGCACGAAACUUGCCCCGAGAUGAGUUCUCCCUGAGACUUAGAGUCUCCUGAAGGAACGUUGAAGACGACGACGUUGAUAGGCCGGGUGUGUAAGCGCAGCGAUGCGUUGAGCUAACCGGUACUAAUGAACCGUGAGGCUUAACCUU